rnacentral:lncRNA from 1 species
CAGCCCUGCAGCCAGUUCCAGCUGUCAGGAGUCAGGAAGGCACUGGACAGAUCUGCCCACAGGUGCACAUCUCUCCCAUUUCAGGAAGACAGAGGAUCCUCUAAGGCAGAAACUUAAGAAGUUUCAACAAAGAAGACAACAAACAAAGAAGAGCAUCUUUGUUGCCAGUAAUUAGUCAGAACAUCUUGACAGUUCAGCCAUUUAACUGAGGAGCUCAGAUACACCAUGAACAAUUUUGCUGGAGGAAUCAUUUGGGGAAUGGGAAAAGGAAAGUGAAGUCUGGAAGUUCCAGACUCCUGCAAAGAAAGUGACUAUCAUCAAAAGGGCUGCAGAUGACAACGUUUAUCCAGCUCAUUCAAACAGAAGUCAAGACAGCCAGUAACUGCUCUGGACAGUAAUUGUAAUGGAGCCACUUCUGGUAAGUGACAAAACUGCACUGUGACAGAAGAGGGGGAUAAAGGGAAUGAAUAGUUAUACAGAUCAGAUCAAGGGAGUGACGUGGUAGGAAUGGAAGGUGAAUGUUAGAGCCAGAGUCACAGAGACAUUGGUAAUCUUUUACAUCUUGAUAUUCUGUAUUCUUACACCUCUUGCUUCCCUUUCUAGGAACCUCUUUUGAGCAGAUUUUUAGUAAGGAAGUGAGAUAACUCCUAGAUCUGUUAAACACUGUAAUAAGCCCUUACUCUUCGUUUCCAUAAGAAUGUUAUACGCUACCAUCAACAAUGAAAACUUU